AGAUGGCGACCGGCGCACGGGUGAGUAACACGUAUCCAACCUGCCGAUAACCCGGGGAUAGCCUUUCGAAAGAAAGAUUAAUACCCGAUGGUAUAAUCAGACCGCAUGGUUUGAUCAUUAAAGAAUUUCGGUUAUCGAUGGGGAUGCGUUCCAUUAGGCAGUUGGUGAGGUAACGGCUCACCAAACCUUCGAUGGAUAGGGGUUCUGAGAGGAAGGUCCCCCACAUUGGAACUGAGACACGGUCCAA
rnacentral:rRNA from 1 species